rnacentral:tRNA from 1 species
AGGUUGAAGUCCGCUGGCUUGGGCGUAUAGUUGUUAACUAUACUUUUACGGGAUCGAGGCCCGUCAGUCUAUAG